AUCCAGCUGAGGAGUCCCAAAUAGGAUUAAAAACACGUCCUGGAU
rnacentral:hammerhead_ribozyme from 1 species